GAUUAUUCAUCCCCUCAACUCUCACAUUUCUCUUCACACUUCCAUCGCUCAAAAUUUCUCUUUAGAAUCCCUCAAUCCUAAAACUUCGCACGCACAAAGCAAAACAAAAGUUCUUCUUCUUCCUUAUUCUCAUUAUUCCAUGCGAUUAGAUUGUACAAAUUUUGGAACCCUAAUCUACCACAUUUCAUUUCACACCUUCAUUGCAACCUCACAAAACACACUAUUCAAAAUCAAUCUUCUCUGUUAACAUCGAUUAUCUCAUCGUCGGAGUGUUAUUACUUACCUUCAUAGUCAUCAAUGGCCAUGAUCGGUAACGAAAUUCCCCGUCAUUCCUCCGUUAACCCCCAAUCGAGUCGACUUCCUAUCUCUUUGCCAUGGAACCAAGUAUUUUGCAGCGAAUCAGAGUUUGUUCCCGCCGUUUCUUCAUCGUCGCUGUCGGAGGAACCUUUUUCGUCCAAAACCAUGGUGCUGAAACUCAAUCGCUCGAGAUUUCUUCUCACAAACCAUCAGUCCUUCAAUCGCUCAACCCUUUCAUCGCUGCUGAAACACUAAUCGAUGGGUGAACUCAACAUGUGACUUAUGAGCUACCCAGUAAGAUAUUGGUUCGUUUCAAAGGUGUUGGAGGGUCUUGAUGAUGCUCUUGAUGUUAGAGGUGUGUAGGAUCCUGCCCGUGAUCGGUAUGAUCAUCACUAGAAAGGACUUGAGAAGGUUUUUGGGCAUGGUUUCUCCACUAAGUUUAGUAGUGCUGGUCUUGUUUAUAAGCAUUUUGGAAAGGAAAUUAUAGCCAAUGAGCUUAAGCUAGAUGAAGAGCACCAUAUUGUGAAUUACAUAUGUUUGGCUGUUUACAAGAGCUUCAUGGAGGUUGUUGAGAUUUCAAUCUUGGAGAUCAUGAAAACAGAAUAGAGUGCAAUCAAGAGUAAACUUCCUAUUGUAUUUUCUAAGUGACUUAGGGGACUACUGGUGGGGUUUAUUAGAAUAUGUCAGUGUAUUUGGCUCUGCUGUUGUAGUGUGUAUCGCUCUACUGUGAUGCAGAGUAAACUGGAUAGGUACCAACCUGAAUCUGUGUUGCCUGACCCAGCUAAUAUCAUUUCUGAACAGAAUCAGGUUCUCAUAUGAACUGGAGUUUAUAUAACAAGCACAUAAUUAAGGACCUCUCUCCCUCUCCUUGUAGUACAUCCAUGCUUGUUUAAGAUUAACCUAUUUUGUGUCUAAAAUAUUUUUUAUCCCUUUUGUUUAGGGAUUUGUAGCUGUUUAAAAAAACAAAGGUAACAUUUUUCUAAUUGGCACUUUAUUAAUUGCUCACAACUGCAACGAAAUACUCUACACAAAGAAAUUUUUCGGCUUUAUAUUUUCUUCAAGAAUUAAAGAUGCUUAGUUAGUUUGUCUAAUAUAUUUUAGAAGCAAAACCAUUUUGUUAAUUAUCACUGCUUAGCUUGUGUAGUACUCAGAACAACUAUAAUUGGGCAAUUUGACUGACACUAUUAGUUGUUAUUUAAUGCUUUUUUCACCUCAGAUUUAUUCCUUUGUCUCUCAGUAAAAGUCUUACUUGGCUUAUAAUUAACCAUGUUACAUUGCUACGUUAGGAGGUUGUGAUGGAAAAACUUCAGAGCAAAUCAGUACCCAAUUAGAAAGUCUGGAUCAUACACUCAAAGAUAUUAUGAUAGUCUUUAUCACUGACCUUUGGAAGGCUACCGAUGCUUCUAUGGCCUCAAAUCAAACAACAGCUCGAAAUCCAUGAUGAAGACGGGAGAGAAGAAGAUUAGAGACUGAUUUUAUCUUAGAUAUUUUUUUGUGUUUUUUUUUUGUCGAAGCAUCUAUUUUAGUGGUUGUUAUUAUAUAAUAAUUGACCUUAUUUUGUUAUUUUGAUUUUACUGGGUGAAAAUUGGAUGUGGAUAGCGCAACACUUGUUUGUU